CUCCUCUUAUGUCGGGUAUUCAGCCCCUUAACAUUGUGCAAGUACAGUUUCACUUGUCCGAUGCAUGCUGUCGGAUAGUGGAGUUUUAAAUUUGUGUUGUUGUUAUGAUGGGAGGCUUGUGAUGCUCCUGUAGGAUCGGUGGGGUGGUCAGGAAGGUAGGUAGGGUUUGGGGUUGUUUAGGUGACGGGUGAGUGACCUCUUGGUCUGGUGCAGUUUGCACCUCGGAGGAUGGAACUGAGAAAAAGAGAACUUCCAAACAAGUGGCUGUUUGGGCUGCAUUCUAUGUCAUAUUGUAAGCAGAACAAUGUUAGUUGAUAACAGUAACAUGGGUUAAGAACAUUCAGAUAUAAACAGGGAUUUGCUAUACAAUUCAGUAUUGGAUACUUUCUGUUAAUCAAUAGUAGUACAAAUAUCUAUUCACCUUGUGUGGGUACAUGUUUGGGUUGUAUGCUUUGAUGGUGUUAACCAUAGUUGUGUACCAGUUUGUGUGGUUUUAAUGAAGGGCUGUGUUUAGUGUGGUGAGCUCAUGAGUUGUGUGUGAUAUGAAUAGUUAUGCUUUGUAGCGUGGGGCACCCGGGCCAUAGUGGGUCCGUGUCAUUCCUUAGUGAUCAGGCUGUAAAAGCGUCCCCACAAGGUGGAUGGGGAUCAGCGUUUGGGCUAUAUGACUCAAUUAUGGUUGUCG